rnacentral:rRNA from 1 species
UUGAAGGUGGAUUGAGAAGUCUGCUGGAGGUAUCGGAAGUGCGAAUGCUGACAUGAGUAGCGAUAAAGGGGGUGAAAAGCCCCCUCGCCGUAAGCGCAAGGUUUUCUACGCAACGUUCAUCGGCGUAGAGUGAGUCGGCCCCUAAGGCGAGGCAGAGAUGCGUAGCUGAUGGGAAGCUGGUUAAUAUUCCAGCACCGUCGUACAGUGCGAUGGGGGGACGGAUCGCGGAAGAUCAUCAGGGUGUUGGAUGUCCCUGUUGCUGUAUCGAAGAUGGCGCUUAGGCAAAUCCGGGCGCGUAAAUCAAGGGUAUGGCACGAGCGAGCAUAGCUUGCGAAGUGAUUGGAAGUGGUUCCAAGAAAAGCCUCUAAGCUUCAGCUGUACGAGACCGUACCGCAAACCGACACAGGUGGGCGAGAUGAGUAUUCUAAGGCGCUUGAGAGAACUCGGGAGAAGGAACUCGG